UUACUGGGCGUAAAGAGCUCGUAGGUGGUUUGUCGCGUUGUUCGUGAAAUCUCACGGCUUAACUGUGAGCGUGCGGGCGAUACGGGCAGACUUGAGUACUGCAGGGGAGACUGGAAUUCCUGGUGUAGCGGUGGAAUGCGCAGAUAUCAGGAGGAACACCGGUGGCGAAGGCGGGUCUCUGGGCAGUAACUGACGCUGAGGAGCGAAAGCGUGGGGAGCGAACAGGAUUAGAUACCCUGGUAGUCCACGCCGUAAACGGUGGGUACUAGGUGUGGGUUUCCUUCCUUGGGAUCCGUGCCGUAGCUAACGCAUUAAGUACCCCGCCUGGGGAGUACGGCCGCAAGGCUAAAACUCAAAGAAAUUGACGGGGGCCCGCACAAGGCGGCGGAGCAUGUGGAUUAAUUCGAUGCAACGCGAAGAACCUUACCUGGGUUUGACACGCACAGGACGCCGGCAGAGAUGUCGGUUCCCUUGUGGCCUGUGUGCAGGUGGUGCAUGGCUGUCGUCAGCUCGUGUCGUGAGAUGUUGGGUUAAGUCCCGCAACGAGCGCAACCCUUGUCUCAUGUUGCCAGCGGGUAAUGCCGGGGACUCGUGAGAGACUGCCGGGGUCAAUCUCGGAGGAAGGUGGGGAUGACGUCAAGUCAUCAUGCCCCUUAUGUCCAGGGCUUCACACAUGCUACAAUGGCCGGUACAAAGGGCUGCGAUGCCGCGAGGUUAAGCGAAUCCUUUUAAAGCCGGUCUCAGUUCGGAUCGGGGUCUGCAACUCGACCCGUGAAGUCGGAGUCGCUAGUAAUCGCA
rnacentral:rRNA from 1 species